UUUUAGCCCUGAUAGUAGUGGAAAUCCUUUUUUGCCGGUCCCGAGGCUUCGGGAGGCAAAAAAGAUUGCAACGGAUAUCAGGAUUAGCU
rnacentral:sRNA from 1 species